GACUCUCUCUCUCCCCUUCCCUCUUUCUCUCUCAAAAUAAAUAAAUAAGCUUAAAAAAAAGUAUUAUCUUUUUAAAAGGUAAUCAUUAUGCAUUUCAUCACAUUAUAAUCCAGUUCUAAUUAUGGCCCUAGUUCACCAUUACUUCUCCCUAGGGAAAUCUAUCAGUCCCAUAUGCUUGUAGUCUGUGCCACGCAGACAGUACUGGGGUUUUCCAUGCAUACAUUUUGAGAGCACAGACUACCAUUACUUACUAAUUUACAAGCCUAAGAUAAAUAAAGCAUAGAAAGCAGUAAUUCAAACUUACCCACAGUAAUAGCAAAGUCACAUUUAGGGUCAAGUCUAGCUAUAUCUAGCAUCUGACCAACAUCUGGCUUGUGUUAUUGAGAGAUCAACUGUACUCUCUAAAGAACAACAUUUGAUGGACACUAUCUUAAGGCAGUCUGCAAACACUCCAGUUUAUGUUUAUUUAAGCAAUGUACAUAGCCCAUCUUUUUCUUAGAAGAGUCAAAACUUUUGUGAAAGACUGAAUUACAAAAGGCUAAUGCACUCCACACUCGUAUGAAAGAAUUUCAUUUCCGAUUGUAAAUUUUGGUGCCUCAUUUGUUUCAUCAAAUCAUCCAGAAUGUCAGUUUAUGGGCAGAUAGAAACUGCAGCUGCCUCUGAGCCAUUCAAAUUUCUCAUCUCCUUCCACUAUCAAAGCUAGGGUGGAAAUACUCAAUUUCUCAACCCUCCCUGGGUGGGACAUCACAUCAACCCAGGACUAGUGGUCUCUGGAUCAAAACUUAUAUUUUGGAAAAAUGGAAUUUUAAAAGAUUGUGGAGAUGCCCUGGAUUCCAGUGAAAUUGUAACUCUAUUUAUUAUGGAACAAAAUAUAUGGGGUUUUAGUCUCUGAGGAUUAAAGUAAGCAAGAAAAAGGUUGUAUUUUCUUUGGGUAGUCAAUAUAGCAAUUUUUUAAAACAAAAUCAUUUCAUAUCUGUUUUUAAAAUCUCAUUUAGUUUUAGUUUGAAACCGUUGUUCAAAAGGUAAUCAUCUGUGAUAAGAGACACAAGCUGUUUCAGAAAGUGCCUGCAUCAGAAAGCAAGCUGUUAAGAGUUGCAGGCUGUUAAAUUCACUCCUCAGGACAGCAGAUGAAAAGUGCUAUUGCACUUCAAGUUUCGUUUAUUUCAGAGGCUUCCUGAGGAAUCAGAAAUCCGAGGCUUGGAUAGAUUAGGCCUUUUUUUUAGAAAACAGCAGGAAAAUCUCAAGGAACUCUCUAACGAGGUCCUAGGAAUGAAUAAUUGUAGGUCCCCAAAUUCAUGUUACAAUCUAACCCCCGAUGUAAUGGUACUAGGAGGCGGGGACUUUGGAAAGUGAUGAGGUCAUGAGGAUGGAACCUAUGAAUGGAAUGAGUUCCCUUAUAAGGGGCUGAGGAGACAACGAUUCUCCCCUACUACCCGGUGAGGACGCCUAGAAAAUACAGCCAGUGAAGAACCUGUUAUGGAACCAGGCUGGAUCGCUGACAGAAGAACCGGCACUCAGAGAUCUUGGAGGAUCGGAGGUUUAUUUACAUCGACGGGCUCAGGGGAACCGGUCUCUCCAAAGAUCUGACUGCCCGAGCGCAAGCCUGAGGGACAAUUUAUAGUCCACUACUUCCGCAUUAGAGGCAAUCUGGCGCGCCAGGGAAGUGGGGCAGGAAGAAGAACCCGGAAGGGGAGUCUUCCGGCGGGGACCGGAAUUCCCUAUCAUUCCUGUCGGCCAUCUUAGAACAUAAUUUUUCCCUACCAAGGUCAGGGUUGGUUUUUUUUCUCUCCCGGUCGAACCAGGGAGUGGGCUCUCACUAGGCCCUGAAUCUGCUGGCACCCUGAUCUCUGGCUUCCCGGUUUCCAGAACAGCCAACACUGAAUGAACUCAGAUCAAGAUUGUCAGGGCAGUUUGCAAGCUCUAAUCUGAAGGCAGUUGUCCCUACUUCCUUAUUGUCACAGAGAAGAAGUGAUUAGGCUAUCAUAAGGGGGACUCUGCAAACAAAGCCGAUUAAGUAUCUCUUGGAUACAAUGUCACAGACACUUAAGCCUUGAACAGGUGAAAUUUGUCAAGUAAGCAAUCCCCUGAUGGUUUGUCCAGUGAAAAAGAAUUGUUUUGUCUUGUUGAUGUUGUUUCAGAGUACACUUUGCUGGAGUGAACAAUUCCUCAUUCUCGAUUCACAUAGUUUCUUAUUAAACAAAUGAAAUCAUAGAAUCAUUGGUCCUGGCUCAGAAAUCACUAAAAAUAUCUGAGGCUCUUUUCAAAUCAUGAAACUAGAAAUUCAUUUAUACAUUUUUAAAUCAAAUAUCAAUUACUGAUGGAAUGCCUACUUGUACCAAGCACGUCUUAAGGAUAGGAAUUUAGCAGAUGGAAAACCAAAACCAAAAACCAGGUCUCCAUCCUCACUUUUUAAAAAUUUCAGGAUGUGAUUAAGCCACGGCAACUAUAUCCAUUCUGAUUAAUAUCCAACUUGUUCUCUACAUCUCCACUUAGAUCUCUCAUGGGCAUCUCAAACCUACCACACCCAACACUGAAUUCUUGAUUUCUCCCUCCUAACUUUGGCCCUGGCAUAGACUUCUUCAUCUCCAUAUAAUGAUUGAGAGAAGACUUACUUGAUGGGCCAGAGCAACAUUGGCUGUGGAGCUGGAGUUUAUCUGGAAAUGUUUCAACCAAGCCGUUAAGUUGAAGGAAGCAUACAAGCAAGGCCACUGCCAAGCUCUGAAGAAACAUAAAACUUUCAGUGUGAAUUUGUGAAAAUAUCUGAAGCUGCACAAACCAGGCAGGCUCUGAGCUGGGAGAAAGGAAGCCUGCAUCCUAAGAUAAUCUCUGCUCUUCCAGCAACUAACUGUGUGAUCUUGACUGGACCCUUGCCUUUAUCACGGGUCAAACUCUUUAUCUCCUUGUCUCUGAAAUAUUGCAUGGGAUCAGAAUUCCGGUAGGCCAGAGAUGCGGUUUAUUUGAUUCACACAGGGCUCUUCCUCUCUCCCUCCCUGCCUCCCUUUCUUCUUGCUUUUAGUCAAAGAUUCUGGAGCAUUUAAAAACUCCUCAUAACGACAAGGAGAUACCUCUACUCACCUGCCAGAAUAGCCAAGAUCCAGGACACUGAAAACACCAAAUGCUGGUGAGAAUGUGGAGUAACAGGAACUGUCACUCAUUGCUUGUAGGAGUGCAAAAUUGUACAGCCGAUUUGGAAGACAGCUUGGUGGUUUCUUAGAAAAGCUAAUAUACUCUUACCAUACCACCCAGCAGUUGGGCUCCUUGGUAUGUACUCAAAAGAGUUGAUGACUGAUACCCACACAAAAGCCUGGACACAGAUGUUUAAGCAGCUUCAUUUAUGACUGCUUAAAUUUGGAAGCAACCAAGAUGUCCUUCGGUGGGUGAAUGGAUAAAUAAACUGCGGUACAUCUAGACAACAGAAUAUUUUUCAGUGCUAAAAAGAAAAUGAGCUAUGAAGCAAUAAAAAGAAAUGGAUGAACCUUAAAUACAUAUUACUGAAUGAAAGCAGCUAAUCUGAAAAGGCUACCUACUGUGCGGUUAUGGACUCAUAUGACAUUCUGGAAAAGGCACAACUAUAGAGACGAUAAAAAGAUCAGUGGUUGUCAGGAUUGGAGGGAGGGAACAAUAGGUCAUACAUUUGUCCAGACCCAUAGAAUGUACAACACCAAGAGUUAACCUCGGUGUAAACUAUCCACUCUGGGGAAUAAUGAUGAGUUAAUGUAGGUUUAUCAGUUGUAACAAAUGUAGCACUCUGGUGGGCAAUGUUGAUCCUGGGGGAGGCUAGGCAUGUGUGGGGGAAGAAAAUAUACAGGAACUCUGUACUUUCCACUCUGUUUCUGCUUAGCUUUCAUUUAUCUAAGAUUGCUACAAAAAGUAAAGGUUAUUAAUGAAAACAUUUUUGGUGGCCAGGGCACCUGGUGGCUCAGUCGGUUAAGCGUCUGACUUUGGCUUAGGUCAUGAUCUCGCAGUUCGUGAGUUCAAGUCCUCCAUCGGGCUCUCUGCUGUCAGCUCGGACCCCACUUAGGAUCUGUCUCCCUCUCUCUCUGCCCCUCCCUUGCUUGCUCUCUCUUCCCCUCUCUCUCAAAAAUAAAUAAACAUCAAAAAAAAAUGUUGGUGGGUAUUUGGAAUUGAGAAGCCAUGUGGCCCAUUGGAAAUAACAUGGCAUUCGGGAUCAGACAAACAUUAUUUGAAACUAUACAUACGUGGGAGUAUAUGGGAAAUCUCUGUACCUUCUGUUCAAUUUGUUGUGAACAUAAAACUGCUCUAAAAACAGUCUAUUAAAAAUAAAUAUAAAAAGUAAAUAUGAAAAGAAAACUAGGUUAUUUAUUUAUUUUUGAGAGAGAGAGAGAGAGAGAGAGAGAGAGCGAGCACGCACUGGAGGGGCAGAGAGAAAGAGAAAAGUAGGUUAUUUACAUGUAAAUCUGUGUUUCCAAUUUCUUAUGCGAAAUAGAAGAUCUGGCAAUGCAGAGCCUGGGUUCUCGCAUGGCUAAACCAUCCCUUUUACGCGGGCACACCUUUGCUGAUCACCACACUACCCCCCUGGGCCCCCUUCAUACAUUAAUGUCUCUGACCUCACUACAUACUCGGGUUUGUGACCUAAGGGAUUUCAGGUUUGUGAUCUCUCUGAUGCUUUCCUUUCAUCUCAGAAAGUCUGUAAUUCUCAAGGGCAAACCAAUAAUUACAUCUUAUUUAUAUCACCACUUCAGCAGCCUGGCGAAUAAGCUGGAAAACCUUAGUACAAGACCAGACUUAACUAGCAUAACCAGAGAUAUUUUCUCCUCCAGAUUUUCCUUGUAGGUGGCAGAUUUUCUAUAUCAUGUAUCUUUCCACAUGUUCCUUUGAACACAGUGAGUUUCUCUUUAGCCGCCACAUCCUCAUAACCAGAUGAUGCAUUUUAAAAAAAAAUCGGUCUCCUGUAUUACUGAAGAUGAAACAUUUUCUGUUAACUUUGUUUCUUUUUUUUUUAAUGUUUAUUUAUUUAUUUUGAGAGAGAGAGAGUGAGAGUGUGAGCAUAUGGGCAUGUGCAUCACAGUGCAUGCACAGGAGGGGCACAGACAGAAUCCCAAGCAGGUUCCGCACUGUCAGCAUAGAGCAUGACACAGGGUUUGAUCUCGGGAACAAUGUGAUCAUGACCCGAGUUGAAAUCAAGAGUCAGACCCUUAACUGACGGACCACCCAGGUGCCCCUCUGUUAACUUUUUUCAAAUGCCACUUAUAAAAGGAAUCUGCAUGACCAUGAUAUAAAGUUGCUUUCUGGAAGCAGGAUUAGUUUAGGAUCAUGAAUCUCAUGGGAACUUUUAAAAUAAAUGUGUUUGAGGCUCAAAUCUUCUAACUGGCUUUUCUUUGUUUCUAAUUGUAAUAUUUUGAAGCAUUGUGAAAACUGUCCAUUUCUCCUUCUAGGAUACAUGACUAUUUUCAGUGUUCCUCUUUGUUAUUAUGCAAUACUUACCUUGUGACAUCUGACUACAAUCGAUAUCCCCUCCCCUGUAUCAUUCAGUCCUUUGCUGAUCUUUGAAAUAGAUGUGUCUUUUUCAAAGCUAACAGGCCUGAAUUUUACUAUUAUUUCUAAUUUACUGCUUUGUUUCCUUCUCUGGCAUUGUGCUGUCUUCCUGAACAAAAUUCUUGAUUAUAGUUGAUUCAUCCUCAUUAUUGUUCUGACAUCAAGAACGGUCUUUAAUAACAAAUUUAUAUUGAAAUUGGUUACUUUUCUGAUGGGGUUUGGAGUUUAUCCAUAAGAGCCAGAUCUUUAAGAUUUUGAAAAGCUAUUUUCUCAUGCUUAUUCCUUUUCUUUUGAACAAAACUGAGUCUCAUUUUAUUCUCAUUUAUUUAUGCUAUAACUGAUUUUAACUUUCUACUUGUGGAAAGUCAGUUCUAAAUUUAACCAGUCUGACCCCUGACAAGUCCCACUCUGCUUAAGCAUUUUCUUAGGGAGACUCAGUUUAAGGGUCUCUUCCAGGCCAGCGUGAUGAGUUUUCUGCCAGCUCAUGUAAAUUGUUCCAUCCCCAAACAAAAGCAUCAACUAAAUUACUUUUUACAUCAGGUACUUACUAAGGGACAACAGGUAUUUGGGUGUUAAAAACAAAGAGGAAAGUGUCAUUAAGUAUAAUCUUUUCGGGAUGUUGGGUGGUUCAGUCAGUUAAGCGUCCGACCUCGGCUCAGGUCAUGAUCUCAUGGUUUGUGAGUUCGAGCCCCGCGUCGGGUUCUGUGCUGACAGCUUGGAGCCUGGAGGCUGCUUCAGAUUCUGUGUCUUCCUCUCUCUCUGCCCCUCCCCUCCUUAUGCUCUGUCUCUCCCAUUCUCUCUCAAAAAUAAGUGAACAUAAAAAAAGCAUAAUCUUUUCAUUGUCUUUCUCCUAGUGUACAUUAAUUUUAGGGGGCAGGCAUUCUUUUCCUUGGGACAAGUACUGAUUUCCAUAGCUGUGGAAAGUGAUGCCCUCUUGCCGUGGCUCAGGGACGCAGAGUUACCUUUUCAUGUCUCGGAGAGAUAAGCAGGGUAGAUUUGGAUCCCUGAGCAGCAUCUAAUCAGGGACAAUGUAAUGUCAUGCAAAGCAAUCUUGGUCUGUGACUCAGGAUCAGGCUUUCCAUAUUGCUCCCACAAAAGACUAUAGCCGUCAGAAGAAAACUAAUUUUUCAUAAGCUUGUCUCCCCUAAGCAGAAGACAUGAUUUUUCAUUGCCUCAUUUCCUGAUAAGGUACAAGUCUACUUACAUUGGCUGAAAGCUUUACUUCAUGGUAGGAGAUACUCCCAAUAAAUCUUAAUAGGUCUUCUAACCAGUACAAAGAUUUCUGAUUUGUAGACUAUUUUAUGAGAAAAAAUAUGUAUAGACGAUUUUACUAAUUUAGGAAGGCAAUAUUAGGAAGUGGUAUGAGCUCAGGCUCUGGAAUCGGACACCUUUGAUUUAAAUAUUGGCUUUAUCUUUGGUUCUAAUAUGAGUAUGCCCACUUAGUACAUGUGUAGUCUUGAAUAAGGAACCUGUCCUUUGUAGACCUCAGUUUCCAAACUUGUAAAAUGUGCAUAAUAAUACAUUCAUACUUCAUAGGUUUGCUGUAGUGAUUAAAUGUGCCAAUUCAUGUGAAGGCCUUAGAACAGUGUCUUAGCAUUAAUUAAAUACUAACUCUUGUUAUAUCAAACCGCUUGAUGGUCAGGCUUGCAUUUCCUUUCUGUUUGAUAGUGUCCUUUCAGAUCAUUAAUACCCACUAAUAUUUUGAAUUUAUCUAUGGGGAGUGCUGCAAGUAACAUACUCUGUUCUCUUUUGCCUCAGAAGACGUGCUCGGCUCCUUUCUGUGACUGGAGUGUAAUUAAAUAAUUGGGCUCUUUACCUCUACCUUCCCCAUCUUUGCUUGUAACUAGUGUUCGACUUACCUAAACAUAUUACGUGUUGAGGAGGAUGUAUAUGGCAUAAAUAGUCCUUGGGACCAAGGUGAUUUGAGAUUUUUAAGCUUAAGGGAGCCUUUGUAGAGUGAGUGGCUGAAGCUUCAUAUCCUGGCACAAGAAGACCAGUAAAAAAAAAAAAAAAAAAAAAAAAAAAAGA